GUCCCAGUUCGGACUGUAGUCUGCAACCCGACUACACGAAGCCGGAAUCGCUAGUAAUCGCGAAUCAGAAUGUCGCGGUGAAUACGUUCCCGGGUCUUGUACACACCGCCCGUCACACCAUGGGAGCCGGUAAUACCCGAAGUCAGUAGUCCAACCACGUGAGGACGCUGCCGAAGGUGGGUUCGAUAAUUGGGGUGAAGUCGUAACAAGGUACC
rnacentral:rRNA from 1 species